rnacentral:rRNA from 2 species
UACAGAGGUGGCAAGCGUUGUUCGGAAUUACUGGGCGUAAAGGGCGCGUAGGCGGCCUUCUAAGUCGGACGUGAAAGCCCCAGGCUUAACCUGGGAACUGCGUCCGAUACUGGAAGGCUUGGAUUCGGGAGAGGGAUGUGGAAUUCCAGGUGUAGCGGUGAAAUGCGUAGAUAUCUGGAGGAACACCGGUGGCGAAGGCGGCAUCCUGGACCGAGAUCGACGCUGAGGCGCGAAAGCUAGGGGAGCAAACGGG